CCUACGGGCGGCAGCAGUGGGGAAUAUUGGGCAAUGGGCGCAAGCCUGACCCAGCAACGCCGCGUGAAGGAAGAAGGCUUUCGGGUUGUAAACUUCUUUUGUCAGGGACGAAGCAAGUGACGGUACCUGACGAAUAAGCCACGGCUAACUACGUGCCAGCAGCCGCGGUAAUACGUAGGUGGCAAGCGUUAUCCGGAUUUAUUGGGUGUAAAGGGCGUGUAGGCGGGAAUGCAAGUCAGAUGUGAAAACUAUGGGCUCAACCCAUAGCCUGCAUUUGAAACUGUAUUUCUUGAGUGCUGGAGAGGCAAUCGGAAUUCCGUGUGUAGCGGUGAAAUGCGUAGAUAUACGGAGGAACACCAGUGGCGAAGGCGGCCGCCUGGCCUGUUGCUGACGCUGAGGCACGAAAGCGUGGGGAGCAAAUAGGAUUAGAUACCCGAGUAGUC
rnacentral:rRNA from 1 species